AAUGCCUAGCAAGCAUCUCAAAACCAGAAUCCAAAUGCUCUCUACUAGAUCCAACAGGGACGCUGAAUGGAAACAUAACAAGUCACGAAAACCCAGAACCAUGAACGUAUUAAGAAUCUACAUGUUUAGUUCCUUCACCAUCUUAGGGAGGAGUGGAUACAGCUUAACAGAUACUGGACUGGAGAAGGUCUGUGAGAUUGGAACUAUUAACAACUUGAAGGAGCAAAUUAAAAUUAAAUAAUGCCUACAAAUGAGAUGUGCCAGGAAUGCGGAUUUCAGCAGUUAAGCCUAUUGUAGCCAGCAGUAUACAAGAAAGCCAUGCCAAGUAUCAGAUAGGGACUGAAAAUUAGAGUGUGCCGCUAAGGUGUACCAGUCUUCAAGAAAGAAGACACCAUUCCUCAAGAAAAGGUGAUGCCAAAGAUAUGUAAAAAAAUAUUAUUUUUGUGUGGGUUUGUAAAGAAGGGACAUCAUCCCUUCCGUAUUUCAUGUGAAAGUGAGACGGGAGGGGGGGUUGUGUAAUGAAACAGGUUGUACUGGGUCAUGUGGAGUACCCAAUACAGCAGGUUUCAUAGUAUGCGAUACACACUAAAACAGAUAUGGGUAGUGUAUAAGGACAAUUAAUGAAUGAGGUAACCUACUGCAACAGUGUGAAAUAGUGGUAACAAAAAUGUUAAACUGUGUCACAGACCAAUUAAUGCAUGUUUUUAAUCAGGCAAAGUAAUGUACAGUUAGGAUAAGUCAUUACCACAUUGCUUUGAAGUUUGGGAUGAUUUGAAGAGAAAGAAAAAGUUCUGGAAUCAGUGUUAAUAAUGGAUAAAUGUUAGUAACAUUUUUCAUUCAGUUUUGUAAUUAUAAUUCAAUUUGUAAAAAUUCAUUGUUUAGCAUAAUGCAAAUUAACUGUGUAAACCAGUAAUUUUAGAAAAGCUUAACAUUUGUGUAUCUUUGAAAGGCAGGACAGCAUAUUCUUACAGAAAUCACCAACUAAAAAUCUGUAAUUAAACUCAUAAUUAAUGUUUCUGGAACAUUCUGUAGAGAAAUUCUGUGCAAUGUCCACAUAUUACGAAAACUAGAGAAGAUGGAGACAUAUACUGUCUCAGAAAGACAAUUUGUAGCACAAAUAAUGUUAGAAGAAUGAUUCAUUAAUCUUUUGCAACAUGAUUUAAAGCUUUUGGGUUGUACGUAACUGUUCCGCAUUUUAGCCUUCAAAUGUUGAAAAAAGCUCUUUGGAAUGUUUGAAUGGUAAUUUUGACAUUGUAGAAAUAUUACCAGCUCAGAACUGUUUCAUAAAAUCACAUAAUUAAUUAAAUUAUGGAAAGAUAUUCGAGAAUGUUCUGGACUGAAUAAUAAGAACCUAAUUGUUAACUGUUUGUAUGUUUCAAAAUUGCACUUGUAAAAGAUCGUUAAUUUCGGAAAUAUCAUUGUACUUGUUUUAAUUUCUACUAAAACUCUGUAAUGUCAGAAUUUGCUGGGUUAACUUAUUGCAAUUGUAACAUCAAACAUGAAAUAACAUAACAAUGUCAAAGAAUGUAAUUGUUAAAAGAUGUAAAAAUACGCCUUGCCAAAAAGGCUUGAGAGGAGAGCAGUUGGAGUACUAGCUGGCAUGUUCUGGUGCCUGUAAAGUUGUGACAAAUAAACAUUUGUUGUUAACAGAUUAAUUGGUGUACAUCUGGUAGUAACACAAGACUUUCUGCAGUGAAGUUAUCGCCUCCAAAAAUGUAAAAC